AGACAAUAUCUACUCUCUUAUGCUGGCACGAGCAAAACUGAAGCCCAGGGUUCAGCCUUUUGCUUACUUGCUCUCAGCUUCUGAGGCAACCACAACAAAAUCAUGAAACUCAAAGCACACAUCCUUCCUUAAACAGGAGCCAUCUUUAAGGAAGCAAUUAAGGGCACAAACAUUGUUUUCCCUUGCCCUGCCCUUUUAAACGAAUGUGACUAAGCCAGUAACUGGUUGGAUAAAUGACUUGCAGCUGGAAUUUAUCUUAAUUGGCUUUUAGAGGGUUCUGAUUCAUUGCAUCUGUAAUAUCUAGUGCAAUCAGCAUUCCCUGCACAUUAGAGGCUCCUAUUGAUGUCAGCAGGAUUUAAGGUUCAGAGGCGGAAACCAAGGCAGAGUGAAUUAGUCCUUCAAAUGAGAGUCCAUGGCAAGUCAAUGGCAGAGAGAGGACAUGAAUCCAGGAUGCUGAUCUUCCAGGUGCCAAGAAUACAUGCAGUAGAAAGAAGAUACUGCAGAAGUUGUCUUUCAUCCAAAGUCCUAUGCAACUAUGUUCCAUGGCUAUGAAAACCACCUGAGCUGACCCACAUGCCAAAUUCAUUGUGAUUUGGCUGGACAGAAACUGAAGGACAGAUCUUGGCUGUUAAAAAGGGGUCUAAUCCGCUUUCCACUGAUUUCCAUUAACUUGGAUCUGUUGGUCAUAUGCACAAGGCUCCAAGACCCUUAAAGCUUUGGAGACUGAGAAUUAUGCAGUAAUUAGAUUUCUUUUUCAGUUCUUGCCAAAACCAGCAAAAUAUUUUGGCUUGCUAGGAUGAGACAUGCAGCCAGUUCUUUAUUUCCACACUGCGGAGGCUUAAGUUGUGCAUUAAAGGAGAAGGAUUAUGUAGGCCUAUUUCUUACAUUGUGCAAGCAAAUUUCCUACUAGGCACUAGGAAAAUCUGGCUCAUAGUUGGCAUAGCAGCGACCCACCAUGUUAUGGAAGUCUAGAGGGCAGUUUUGACUCCAUCACAUGGGAUGCAUUGUAGGCCUGUGCAAAGCGGCUAGUAUUUGCUUCGGAUUUGGAUUUGGCCAGUUCAGGGGACAGUGAUUUGAAUUGCUGUCCCGAAUUGAUUCGGCCAAAUCUGCCAAAUCCCCGAAUCAUCCAAGCCCAUUCCCCACCAGCACAGCAAUGGCUGCCCAGCCCGCCCCAGCUCCCGGCACUUUAAAAAAAAAAAAAGCCCCAACUCACUGGGUGCUGUCAGGUGGGGGCGA
rnacentral:lncRNA from 1 species